AGAGUUUGAUCCUGGCUCAGGAUGAACGCUAGCGGCGCGCCUUAUGCAUGCAAGUCGAACGGUCUCUCGCAAGAGAGAUAGUGGCAAACGGGUGAGUAAUAGAUAAAUAACCUGCCUUUAAGUGGGGGAUAACACUUCGAAAGAAGUGCUAAUACCGCAUGUGAUGCUCUUUCAUAAGAAGGAUCAUUAAAACCGCAAGGUGCUUGAAGAGGGGUUUGUCUCCGAUUAGCUUGUUGGUGGGGUAACGGCCUACCAAGGCAAUGAUCGGUAGCUUCUGAGAGGAUGGUCACCCACACCGGAACUGAGACACGGUCCAGACUCCUACGGGAGGCAGCAGCAAGGAAUCUUGGGCAAUGGGCGAAAGCCUGACCCAGCGACGCCGCGUGAGGGAUGAAGGCCUUCGGGUUGUAAACCUCUUUUCUCAGGGAAGAAUAAUGACGGUACCUGAGGAAUAAGUCUCGGCUAACUACGUGCCAGCAGCCGCGGUAAUACGUAGGAGGCGAGCGUUAUCCGGAUUUAUUGGGCGUAAAGUGGGCGUAGGUGGUCUUUCAAGUCAGAUGUGAAAUCUCCCGGCUCAACUGGGAGGGGUCAUCUGAUACUGUUGGACUUGAGUAUGGCAGGAGAAAACGGAAUUCCCGGUGUAGUGGUGAAAUGCGUAGAUAUCGGGAGGAACACCAGAGGCGAAGGCGGUUUUCUAGGCCAAAACUGACACUGAGGCCCGAAAGCGUGGGGAGCGAACAGGAUUAGAUACCCUGGUAGUCCACGCCCUAAACACUGGGUACUAGGUAUAGGGAGUAUCGACCCUUUCUGUGCCGAAGCUAACGCUUUAAGUACCCCGCCUGGGGAGUACGGUCGCAAGACUAAAACUCAAAGGAAUUGACGGGGGCCCGCACAAGCAGCGGAGCGUGUGGUUUAAUUCGAUACUACACGAAGAACCUCACCAGGGUUUGACAUGUUAGAAGUAGUGAACCGAAAGGGGAACGACCUGUUAAGUCAGGAGCUAUCACAGGUGCUGCAUGGCUGUCGUCAGCUCGUGCCGUGAGGUGUAUGGUUAAGUCCUGCAACGAGCGCAACCCUUAUUGCUAGUUAUAUUCUCUAGCGAUACUGCCUCGCAAAACGGGGAGGAAGGUGGGGAUGACGUCAAGUCAGCAUGGCCCUUAUACCCUGGGCUACACACACGCUACAAUGGGCGGUACAAUGGGUUGCCACCGGGUGACCGGGAGCUAAUCCCCAAAACCGCCCUCAGUUCGGAUUGCAGGCUGCAACUCGCCUGCAUGAAGUCGGAGUUGCUAGUAAACGCGUGUCAGCAUAGCGCGUUGAAUACGUUCUCGGGCCUUGUACACACCGCCCGUCACGUCAUGAAAGUUGGUAACACCUGAAGUCGAUAGGCUAACCCGCAAGGGAGGCAGUCGCCCAAGGUGGGACUGAUAAUUGGGACGAAGUCGUAACAAGGUA
rnacentral:rRNA from 1 species